CCACCCACCACCGCUCAGCCUCGCCGCUCCGUCCGUCCCUCCCUCCCGGCUGUAGCCGGAAACGGGGAAUUCCCGAUGGCCGCGAGACAUACAAAGGCAGGACUUGGCUUCGUUCCAAACCGGCAGAACGGGGGAAGGGACAACGGGUCACCUCCGAAUAUCCCCAUCCAUCGGCAAACACCUUUUGACGCAGCCCAGAGCUACGGAAGAACGUAAGGAGGGGGUCUGCCGGAUUCAGGCCGAAGGCCCGUGUGGUCCAGCACCUUGUUUUCACAGCUGUCGGUGGGAAGCCUCCUCUCGCAACACGAUUCCCAAGAUCCUGUAUGCAGAGGCAUCAUAAUAUAGUGCUUCGAGUCAAAACAUCGUGAUCUUUUUCCCCCCCUGCAUCCAUCCUUAACCUGUUUCUAGGUGCCGGACAAAAAUAUUAUUAUAUGGCCAGGCCUUUGGUUCUUAAUUAGGAGAGUAACUAGCUAUGCAUCCUGAACCUUUGACUUUCUUAGGAGGGUUCAGGCUAGAUGUCAGACCUGAGUUGCACCACCAGCCACCAGAAUUGGAAGGGACCACGAGGCUCAUCUAGUCCAACACCCCAGCAAUGCAGGAAUCUUUCACCCAAUGUGCGGUUCGAACCCAUAACCCCCCUGUGAACCUGUUGAGGAAAAUCGUUAUUCGGCAUAAGCUGGGCAGUCAUGCUUUUUAAGGUGCAUCUUCUGCUCUGCACAAGGUCUAAGGGACAGUGGACCGCCCCCCUGCUGAAAAAGUUUGCUGACCCCUGGUGUACAUACUUCUGUAUCAAGAAACAAUUUUCUGCAGGACUGGUUCUGGAAGAACAACAUUUCGAGCAACAACUCCUUCCCAAUCAUUUCUGUACUGCUUCGUAGAGAGUAGACUGUCAGAUCUCCCUGUAAAAGAACAUUUAUUGUGUGUCAUUCCCCUCUCUCUCCUAGCAUGAAGUUACAGUACAAUCAUACCUUCAUGCAAAACUUGUGUGAUUUCAACCUUGUGCAGGUGAAAGCCAGCCAGCUGAAUUUGUGCAAAUUAAGUGCACACAAGGCGGAGAACUUAAAAGCUCCCUUUGUGCAUGGUUUUCCUGGACCUGAAAGAGCCUUUAAGCUCUCUGCCUUGCUGACCAGGCUCUGGGAUGCUCUUGUGCAAGCUUUUAAGAUGCUCUCAUGAGAUCUGACAGGAAGUUGGAUGGCCUCUGAGAUCUCAUGAGGGGAGGGAAGUAGAGCCUUCAAUGUGGAGUUCCUCAGGGUUCAAUUUUGUUCUUUUUGGUGUUUAACAUCUACAUGAAACCACUGAGUGGGGUUAUUCAGAGGUUUGGGGUAUAUUGUCAGCAACAUGCUGAUGCCACACAGCUCUACUCCUUUACAUGUGCAAGUGUGGCAGUGGAUGAGCUGGACCAUUGAGUUGCCUUGGUAACAGACUGAAUGAGAGCCAACAAACUGAAGCUCAAUCCAGAUUGAGACUGAGGCACUGUUAGUGGGCU